AUUUGAGUAGCUCUAAGAGUAUUAUUUUGAAGUAAUAAAGGUAGAUAAGAUCUCUCAAAUA
rnacentral:tRNA from 1 species